GAUGAACGCUAGCUACAGGCUAAACACAUGCAAGUCGAGGGACCGGCGCACGGGUGAGUAACACGUAUCCAACCUGCCCUUUACUCGGGGAUAGCCUUUCGAAAGAAAGAUUAAUCACCGAUAUAAAGGAUGGGGAUUCGUUCCAUUAGGUUGUUGGUGAGGUAACGGCUCAACAAGCCUUCGAUGGAUGGGGGUUCUGAGAGGAAUGUCCCCUACAUUGGAACUGAGACACGGUCCAAACUCGUACGCGAGGUAGCAGUGAGUAAGAGUGGUCAAUGGGCGCUAGCCUGAACCAGCCAAGUAGCGUGAAGGAGGAAGGCUUAUGGGUCGUAAACUUCUUUUAUAUAAGAAUAUGUAUUAUAUGAAUAAGGAUCGGCUAACUCCGUGCCAGCAGCCGCGGUAAUUC
rnacentral:rRNA from 1 species